UGGGGAAUCUUGGACAAUGGGGGCAACCCUGACGCAGCCAUGCCGCGUGUGUGAAGAAGGCCCUAGGGUUGUAAAGCACUUUCAAUUGGGAAGAAAAGCUGUACGUUAAUAGCGUGCAGCCCUGACAUUACCUUUAGAAGAAGCACCGGCUAACUCCGUGCCAGCAGCCGCGGUAAUACGGAGGGUGCGAGCGUUAAUCGGAAUUACUGGGCGUAAAGCGCGCGUAGGCGGUUGUUUAAGUCGGAUGUGAAAGCCCUGGGCUUAACCUGGGAACUGCAUUCGAUACUGGGGCGACUAGAGUACGAGAGAGGGAGGUAGAAUUCCACGUGUAGCGGUGAAAUGCGUAGAUAUGUGGAGGAAUACCGGUGGCGAAGGCGGCCUCCUGGCUCGAUACUGACGCUGAGGUGCGAAAAGCGUGGGGAGCAAAACAGGAUUAGAUACCCUGGUAGUCCACACCGUAAAACGAUGAAUGCCAGUCGUCGGGUAGCAUGCUAUCGGUGACACACCUAACGGAUUAAGCAUUCCGCCU
rnacentral:rRNA from 1 species